AUGGAUUCGUGCCCGAAAGGAAACCUGCACACAGGUGCUGCAUGGCUGUCGUCAGCUCGUGUCGUGAGAUAUUGGGUUAAGUCCCGCAACGAGCGCAACCCUUGCCAUUAGUUGCUACGAAAGGGCACUCUAAUGGGACUGCCGGUGACAAACCGGAGGAAGGUGGGGAUGACGUCAAGUCCUCAUGGCCCUUAUAGGUGGGGCUACACACGUCAUACAAUGGCUGGUACAGAGGGUUGCCAACCCGCGAGGGGGAGCUAAUCCCAUAAAGCCAGUCGUAGUCCGGAUCGCAGUCUGCAACUCGACUGCGUGAAGUCGGAAUCGCUAGUAAUCGCGGAUCAGAAUGUCGCGGUGAAUACGUUCCCGGGUCUUGUACACACCGCCCGUCACACCAUGCGAUAGGGUUCUCCCAGGAGUCGGUAGAGUAUGUUCAUGGCUCAGAUUUAAACUCUGGCGGCUUCGUA
rnacentral:rRNA from 1 species